GAUGAACGCUGGCGGUGUGCUUAAUACAUGCUAAGUCGAACGAGGCCCUUUCAGUCUUCGGACAGGAAGGUGACCUAGUGGCGAACGGGUGAGUAACGCGUUGGUGACCUGCCCCGAAGUGGAGGACAACAGUUCGAAAGGACUGCUAAUACUCCAUGUGAUGAAAGAGAUUAGAAGCUCCUUUAUUAAAGGAUUUAUUCGCUUCGGGACGGGGCCUGCGUCCCAUCAGCUAGUUGGUAAGGUAACGGCUUACCAAGGCAAUGACGGGUAGGGGACCUGAGAGGGUGACCCCCCACAAUGGAACUGAAACACGGUCCAUACACCUACGGGUGGCAGCAGUAGGGAAUAUUGGUAAUGGGCGAAAGCCUGAACCAGCAACACCGCGUGUGCGAUGAAGGCCUUCGGGUCGUAAAGCACUUUUUGAGGGGAUGACAAUGACAGUACCCUUAGAAUAAGUCUCGGCUAACUACGUG
rnacentral:rRNA from 1 species